CACAGGAGACAUUUGGGGGAAAAUCAUGAUACACAAACAUACAGGUUAACCAGAUAUCCGUAUAAUAUGAUAACAUGCAUCUUGCUUACUGUAUUAUUAUCUGUGGCACAUAUUUCUAAUCAGUUGUUACUUGUUAGUUAUACUAUUAGUUUUGCAUUGCAAGACAAUUUCUAUAAAAUAAAAUUAUCGCUCAAUAAUAGGUUGAGAUGAAAGAUACGAAUGAUGGAUGUGCUACUUACAACGUAACCAUCAGGAGUCCAUUGCAUAACGUCCCAUUUUAUUGUGAUGUUCCCAUUUGGAUCCAGCGAAUCAUAAGCUUCUGCAAGAAAAAAAAGAGAGAGAAUAUGAAUUAAGCAUUAAGUUACAUCCCGAUUCCGAUUUAAAAGGUACACACCACACAACUAAUAAGAAAUUCGCGGUGAAUAUUAUUUCUAAAAAAAAAAUCUGAAUUAGAAGUAGUAAGAAAUUUGCACUAAUUUCUCUGUCCUGAACUGAACAGAUCCAUCACCGAAAUGCUUGAGAUGAAGAUUCAGCGAAGAUAGCAAAGACUGGUGCUGGUAAGGAAGCUCUGUGUGUGCUCCUCCCAAUUGCCCUAAGCUACCUAAUUCGACCUCAGAAUUCGUGCAAGCAUGAGAGAAAUGGAAGUCCCUAGUGAAUUUGGAGCCCAACCAGGAGUACCAAAAACAGAAAGAAGCCAAUGACGCCGAACUGGAGCCACCGACACUGUAAGGACAAGCAGCCCGGGAGUCGCAUUGCCCACACGCACGCGACGGAAUCUCGCGGCCACCUCGUCCGAUCAUCCUCCUCAUCGGCGAUCGGGGCCUAACAAAGCUCGCCGGCGACAGCGACGGCCGGCCGACGGACACGGCAGCACGAGCAGAGAGCUAGCGAGAUGAUACAGGUGGCCCAAGAAAGCGGGGGAAGCAAAGCUACGACGAAC
rnacentral:lncRNA from 1 species